UUACCCACUCAAAGCUCUUUCCUCUGGGUCUGCCUCUCGCCCCCCGUGGUCCUCCUGCUGACCUCUACUUAAAGCACAUCAUUCCUUUAGUUACAGAAUAUUAACCCGACCUGCCACUUGUUAGUUAGCCCCUCCUUACUUCUAACGGGUGUUCAGAUCCCCAAAGCACUGCCUCCACAUAGUCUUAACGCCUUAUUAAGGGCCACCAGUUGACCAUCCUGUGCACCUAACCUCCUCUAAGAUGUUACCCCUCGCUCUGCGUGGGGGCGGCGCUGCCGUUGGAAGGUACGUCGGCGCGUGUUGAUCCGAAGCUGGGAGAGUCGAAGUUCAAUUUAGGUAAUUGGAACUUAAAUGAUUCGUCGUUUCUAUCGAUCAUUCUGGAAUUUUGACUUGAAGGAACAUUCUAGAACGUGCCAGUGUUCUAGAAUGUUCCCCUCCACUAUUCAAUUCAGUUUUUUUUUUAUUGGAUAAUUGUCCGGCCAAUCAGCUAUCAUCUUUGGUAGUGAUUAGGGGGGCAACUGGGCAUGGUCAAACUAACCAUGGUUGCAAAACGGUUUCAAGGGUCUGUGUUGUUCAUGACUGAAGGACGUGUUACCUGUCGUGAUGUUAUGAUGCAAUAAAAGACGUUCUACUGGGCUAUAUCUCGAGUACUUGGUUCUUGUGUUACCAUUUUGUGUUUUGGUAUUAAGUCAAAAUAUGGUAAUCUUCUAGUCAAGUGA